UACGAAGGGGGCUAGCGUUGCUCGGAAUCACUGGGCGUAAAGGGUGCGUAGGCGGGUCUUUAAGUCAGGGGUGAAAUCCUGGAGCUCAACUCCAGAACUGCCUUUGAUACUGAGGAUCUUGAGUUCGGGAGAGGUGAGUGGAACUGCGAGUGUAGAGGUGAAAUUCGUAGAUAUUCGCAAGAACACCAGUGGCGAAGGCGGCUCACUGGCCCGAUACUGACGCUGAUGCACGAAAGCGUGGGGAGCAAACAGGG
rnacentral:rRNA from 1 species